rnacentral:rRNA from 1 species
UACAGAGGUCUCAAGCGUUGUUCGGAUUCAUUGGGCGUAAAGGGUGCGUAGGUGGCGCCGUAAGUCAGGUGUGAAAUUUCGGAGCUUAACUCCGAAACUGCAUUUGAUACUGCGGUGCUUGAGGACUGGAGAGGAGACUGGAAUUUACGGUGUAGCAGUGAAAUGCGUAGAUAUCGUAAGGAAGACCAGUGGCGAAGGCGAAUCUCUGGGCAGCUGCUGACGCUGAGGCACGAAGGCCAGGGGAGCGAACGGG